rnacentral:lncRNA from 1 species
CAAUAGGAUGUGACAAGAAGCACUGUUGUGGAUCACUUCUCAAAAUGAAUUUACUUGUUCUGUGUGUCUUCUUCCCCUCUCUUGAGGAUUGGCAUGGGAGUAUGAUGGGGAAGAGUCAUCUUUGCUCAUAAAGACAAUGGGGGAUGAUGAAGCAAUAGAAAGAAGAAACUGGGUUCCUGGUGACUUUGUUGAGCACAGCCACCCUUCCCAUCCAGACAGCCCAACAGCUCCACUCCUCCUUCCAACAGAAUUCCCACCAAGGCUGUGCAGCCAUGGGCAAACAAGUUUCCUUGCCAUCCCAGCUUCUUUAUCUGAAAAAUGAAGAAGCUUGACUUUUCUAUUUACAAGUCCUCGUGUCAAAUACUUCUGGGAGGCAAGAAUGUAUACGGGGUGUUGGACAAUAGGGAAUGAUGAUAAUCGUGGUGAACUGGAAACUACAUACUUGACCUAAGGACAUUAAUGUUAAAUUUUGAGUUUUGUUUAU